AACUGGUUUUGUAGUCUCUAGAGGGUUCUUCAAUAUACAGUGAAAAAUCAUUUUUCCUCCAUCCUUGAUUCUCAAUGUUUUCAUGGUAUCAGAGCCAGGCCCGUCCCAAUUAUUAUUAUCGAUGUUGGGCCCCCAUUUAUGUUGUCCACGCUCCAGAGAUCUGGGCGUGAGCGGGGUGUUGAGUUGUCCCACAUCGGAGGGAUUUGAGGUUCUUGGUCUCCUUAUAUGGCUUUGGCAAUCGUCACCUCAUAAGCUAGCUUUUGGGGUUGAGUUAGGUCCAAGAUCAUUGGUAUCCUUAUAUGGCUUGGGCAAUCCUAGAAUGGUAUCAGAGCAGACGAUCUUCGGACGCUUCUCCGUCAUCUGUUGUUACCUCUGUCACGAUUGUAUUGAAGCUUUUUUUUAUAUUUGUGAGAGGUUUUGUUGUUGAUGAACUCGAUGUGUAUCGAGCGGUAAAUUGGAGCUUUUACCGCUAUCCGUUGGUUGCAUCUUCCCUGG
rnacentral:lncRNA from 1 species